rnacentral:rRNA from 1 species
UACGUAGGGUGCGAGCGUUGUCCGGAAUUAUUGGGCGUAAAGAGCUCGUAGGCGGUCUGUCGCGUCUGCUGUGAAAACUCAGGGCUUAACCCUGAGCUUGCAGUGGGUACGGGCAGACUAGAGUGCGGUAGGGGAGACUGGAAUUCCUGGUGUAGCGGUGAAAUGCGUAGAUAUCUGGAGGAACACCGGUGGCGAAGGCGGCAUCCUGGACCGGUAUUGACGCUGAGGCGCGAAAGCCAGAGGAGCAAACGGG